ACACGUAGGGGCCUGACGUUGUUCGGAAUCAUUGGGCGUAAAGGGCGCGCAGGCGGCCGUCCAAGUCCGGUGUUAAAUGGUCGGGCUCAACCCGAUCAUGCGCUGGAAACUGGGCGGCUGGAGUCCCGGAGGGGAUGCCGGAAUUCCAGGUGCAGGGGUGAAAUCUGUAGAUAUCUGGAAGAACACCGAUGGCGAAGGCAGGCAUCUGGCCGGAGACUGACGCUGAGGCGCGAAGGCGCGGGGAGCGAACAGGUUUAGAUACCCUGGUAGUCCGCGCAGUAAACGAUGCGCACCAGGUGUCGGGCGGCAGCGCCCGGUACCGGAGCAAACGCGAUGAGUGCGCCGCCUGGGGAGUAUGCCCGCAAGGGUGAAACUCAAAUGAAUUGACGGGG
rnacentral:rRNA from 1 species